GGAUCGUUGAGAUGAGGGUUGGGGGCACCACGAUAAGUCUGCAGGGGGGGCUGACCCCUAUGGAUGUCUCUAUGUGGGGUUUUGGGGGGAUAUCAUGGUGGGUCCGACCCCCAAAAUCAGUGGGGUUGGAGUAGGAGGGGGUCCAGAAGACCCCAAAGGUGGGGGUGGGACCCAAAAAUGACCCCAUGUUGGGUGCAGAUGAGGGUUGGGGGCACCACGAUGCGUCUGCAGGGGGGCUGAACCCAAUGGAUGUCUCUCUGUGGGGUGGUGGGGGGAUACCACGAUGGGUCUGACCCCAAAAUCCUUGGGGUUGGGGUUGGAGGGGGGGUUGGAGACCCCAAAGGUGGGGGUUGGGGGGGGUGGGAGCUGAAAAGUGACCCCAUGUUGGGCGCAGAUGAGGGUUGGGGGCACCACGAUGCGUCUGCAGGGGGGGCUGACCCCUAUGGAUGUCUCUGUGUGGGGUGGUGGGGGGAUAUCACGGUGGGUCCGACCCCAAAAUCAUUGGGGUUGGGGGGGUUGGGGGGGUUGGAGACCCCAAAGGUGGGGGUUGGGGGGGGGUGGGACCCAAAAAUGACCCCAUGUUGGGUGCAGAUGAGGGUUGGGGGCACCACGAUGCGUCUGCAGGGGGGGCUGAACCGGCUGACCCCUAUGGAUGUCUCUAUGUGGGGUGGUGGGGGGAUACCACGAUGGGUCUGACCCCAAAAUCAGUGGGGUUGGGGAUGGAGGGGGUCCAGAAGACCCCAAAGGUGGGGAUAUGUGGGUUGGGAGCCAGAGAGGAUGAAGAGGAUGAAGUCGACCCCAAAAGACGUCUCCAUGUUGAUUAUUGGGGUUGGGGGGACACUGCGAGGGGUCUGACCCCAAAAUCAGUGGGGUUGGGGUUGGGGAGGGGGCCGGAAGACCCCAAAGGUGGGGAUGUGUGGGUUGGGAGCCAGAGAGGACACCACGAUGAGUCCGACCCCAAAAGACCCCAAAAGUUCCCCCCAGUUUUGCCUUUUUUCCUCUCCCAUUUCCUCCCUUUUUCCUCUCCCAUUUCCUCCCUUUUUCCUCUCCCAUUUCCUCCCUUUUUCCUCUCCCAUUUCCUCCCUUUUCCCCUUCCAUUUCUCCCUUUCCCCCCCCCAAUUUUGCCUUUUUCCUCUCCCACUUCCUCCCUUUUUCCCCUCCCAUUUCUUCCUUUCCCCCCCCCCAAUUUUGCCUUUUUCCUCUCCCAUUUCCCCCCUUUUCCCCCUUCCAUUUCUUCCUUU
rnacentral:lncRNA from 1 species